rnacentral:rRNA from 1 species
AGUGAACGCUGGCGGCAGGCCUAAUACAUGCAAGUCGAACGGCAGCACAGCAGAGCUUGCUCUGUGGGUGGCGAGUGGCGGACGGGUGAGGAAUACAUGGGAAUCUGCCCAGUCGUGGGGGAUAACGUAUGGAAACGUACGCUAAUACCGCAUGCGCCCUACGGGGGAAAUCGGGGACCGCAAGGCCUGACGCGAUUGGAUGAGCCCAUGUUCGAUUAGCUAGUUGGCGGGGUAAAGGCCCACCAAGGCGACGAUCGAUAGCUGGUCUGAGAGGAUGAUCAGCCACACUGGAACUGAGACACGGUCCAGACUCCUACGGGAGGCAGCAGUAGGGAAUAUUGGACAAUGGGGGCAACCCUGAUCCAGCCAUGCCGCGUGAGUGAAGAAGGCCCUCGGGUUGUAAAGCUCUUUUGUCCGGAAGAAAGCAAUCGGUUAAUACCCGGUUGUUCUGACGGUACCGGAAGAAUAAGCACCGGCUAACUUCGUGCC